CGUGUGGAGUAUAGCUGUUAAAGGUACGCGACAUUGAGAAAUGAGAGCUGCAUGCUGAUAUGUACUUAUAUAACAGUAUUGUACAGUAGUGUAUAACAGUCAACAGAAUCCAUCUUCUAGAUGACAGUAAAUCGACAGCCAAUUGUACCAACUAUUAAAUGCUAAUAGUCUUCCGGUUCUGUACCUAUAUGAGGCCUAGCAGUACCACACUCUUUCUUUAUUCUUCCUACACUCACCAUUGUGAUAAGCAGAUUAUUAAUAAAGUUUUAUUUAAAGUCGUCGUCUUUCCUUCCGAUCCUCCAUGGCAAAGUUUGGCGACGAGGAUAACGGAAAACGCGUGUGAAGUGCAGAUAAAAUAGAUUUGAAAGUCCAAUCAGUAUAAGUCGUGAGUAUUGUUAGGAAGUCGAACCUAACCUCACUUUUGAGUCAAGAAAUAGUCUCGAGCACGUGUUUGUUACGCGCGUUGUUAUAAGUCAUGGCAACGGGAGGAACAGUAAAGCAGGAAGGUCAAUCAGAAGUCAGGAUGUUGGGACCAAUGCUAGGUCAUAUGGAGCAGUUUGUGAUUGGUGACAAAUCGAGGAGUAUGUUAACCGAUUGGAACAAUUCUAUCUUGUCAACGAUGUUCCAGCUCACAAGAAAGUUGCGAUGUUAGUGACGAUGGCGGGGCCAAGUCUCUAUUCCAUCGCAUCUCGAAUCUGCUCACCCGACGAUCCAUGCACCAAGCCAUACAAAGAUCUGAUAGAGCUGCUAAAGGAGCACUUUGCACCAUCAGUCAACGUGCUUGCUGAGCGUUACAAGUUCCGGAAGGUUGAGCAGUCGUCGAGUCAAACGAUUUCGGAAUUCAUCAUUCAGCUCAAGGCUCAGUCGCAUUCCUGCGAUUUCAAAACAUUCCUGCCGGAGGCAUUGCGGGAUCAGUUCGUGGCCGGAGUUCAAAAUUCAAACCUCCGGACGAAACUCCUCGGUGAAGCAGAUUUGACUUUCGAAAAAGCUUGCACCAUUGCACGCAAUUCGGAAGCAGCGGAGCAGGAGUCAAGAGCCAUGCAGGGCUCAUCGAAACUCGCGGCUCUACAUCGGAAGUCGCGGAAAUCGUCCAAGCCGCAGGAAAACCAGUUCAAGUCAGUUGCAAGAGAUAACAAAGCAAACGACUCAAGUAAGUCGUUCCGAAAGUCGGUGGAUCAAGCCAAGCAGUGCUUUAGAUGUGGGAGGAAUCACAAACCAGAAACGUGUCCAGCCAAGCAGUGGACUUGCUUUGCAUGUGGAAAGGCCGGCCACGUGUCUACCAUGUAUCGUUCGUCGAAGGAAAAGAGCAGCGGCAAUCAAGGUCGAGUUGCCGAAAUGUCUGAAGCAGUAGAAAGUUGGCGAUUAAAUCUGCUGUCACCUAAACACGAUGGUGCACUGGAACAUAGCGUAGGGGCAGGCUCAACGGAAGCAGCUCUGGCAUCUGUUGGAGAGAUUUCGCCUAGUAAAAUCGGACAAAUCGAUGUCCCAGCCACAAUGCAACUGGUGAUCGAAGGAGUGCCUGUCACGUUCGAAAUCGAUACGGGUGCAUGUGAUUCUGUUAUAUCGUCAGUUGAGUAUCAUGAAAAGCUCUCUCAUGUUAAGCUGAACCCCACUCACAAAAGUUUCCAAUCGGUUUCAGGUCAAAGCAUCCGUCCGCAGGGUGAAUUGGUGGUCAAAGUCACGACGAAAGGAGGCGGAAAAGUUUCACUUUCGCUCUUCGUCAUACAGCCAGAGAAAGAUAGAAGAAGGUUAAGUUCACUCCUUUGCUCGGUAGAUCCAGUCUAGACGUUCUCGUUCCAGGGUGGAGAGAAAUGACAGCAACAACAGCAGUCCUCCCCUAGCGGCAACAGUGGAUACAGCAGCAGUAGCAGUGCAGCGGACAACGGCCACAGUUGUGGUAUGGCAACGGAUAGCGGAGCGCGUCUCAGCAUCGAAAGCAAGACCAGGUGAUGCAGGGCAGCGGAUACCAAUGGCAACGGAAGCGUCCACUACUGUGGCAACGGGGAUAGCGCAGCGGUUGACGUUAGUCUCAGCAUCAAUGUUUUUCAUCGCCAUAUAAGAGCCUGUUUCAGUCAAAGCCCCUCAUAACAGUUCUAGACAGCGACAACAGCAGUCUUCCCUUAGCAGCAGCAGUAGCAGUGCAGCGGAUAGCGGCCACAGCUGUGGCAUGGCAAUGGAUAGUGCACUAGUUGCAGCGGAUCUCAGCAUCGAUAGCAGCUGGGCCAGCUGAUGCAGGGGCAGCGGAUACCAAUAGCAGCGUAUAGCGGCCAAAACAUUAGCAUGCCUACGGAUGGCGUAGCAGUUGCAGCGGGAUUAGAAUCGAUAGUAGCUGAUGCAGUGAGGCACUUCAUUGAAAUGCAGUCUCUGUGCGAUAGUGGGCACUAGUAAAUGUAUUCAAUGAAAAGUUGGCUCAUUUUGACAACACAUGAGCCGUCUAGUUUCGAAUGUUAAAUCAGCUUUUUACUGUUUAUUUUAUCACAAGGAAUACUUUAUUCGCACAGUCAGUGAUAACGCCAAGAUGUGAUCGGUAUCUGAUCCGAUAUUGAAUUGAACAACAAAUAAAAAAAUGACUGACACGCAAGCAGCCGGGUUUGCUUGUAAAAGUAUUCUACUUCAUCCUU